UCCGGUUUGUCACCGGCAGUCACCUUAGAGUGCCCAACUGAAUGCUGGCAACUAAGGUCAAGGGUUGCACUCGUUGCGGGACUUAACCCAACAUCUCACGACACGAGCUGACGACAACCAUGCACCACCUGUCACUCUGUCCCCCGAAGGGGAAAGCUCUAUCUCUAGAGGGAUCAGAGGAUGUCAAGACCUGGUAAGGUUCUUCGCGUUGCUUCGAAUUAAACCACAUGCUCCACUGCUUGUGCGGGCCCCCGUCAAUUCCUUUGAGUUUUAGCCUUGCGGCCGUACUUCCCAGGCGGGGCACUUAAUGCGUUAGCUACGGCACGGAGCCCGUCGAUCGAGCCCCACACCUAGUGCCCAACGUUUACGGCGUGGACUAC
rnacentral:misc_RNA from 1 species